GAGAGCAUAGUACAAUGAAAGUUGCGAGCUGUGUUCGGGGGGGAGUUAUUUUCUAUUGUUUACCUCUAU
rfam:Picea glauca, whole genome shotgun sequence.